GACGGGGGAUGCAAGUGUUAUCCGGAAUCACUGGGCGUAAAGCGUCUGCAGGUGGCUUCCUAAGUCCACUGUUAAACCUUGAGGCUCAACCUCAAAUCUGCAUUGGAAACUAGGAGACUUGAGUAUAGUAGGGGUAGAGGGAAUUUCCAGUGGAGCGGUGAAAUGCGUAGAUAUUGGAAAGAACACCGAUGGCGAAGGCACUCUACUGGGCUAUUACUGACACUCAGAGACGAAAGCUAGGGGAGCAAAUGGG
rnacentral:rRNA from 1 species